rnacentral:rRNA from 1 species
AACGAACGCUGGCGGCAGGCCUAACACAUGCAAGUCGAGCGGACAUCUUCGGAUGUUAGCGGCGGACGGGUGAGUAACGCGUGGGAACGUGCCCUUUGCUUCGGAAUAGCCUCGGGAAACUGGGAGUAAUACCGGAUGUACCCUUUGGGGGAAAGAUUUAUCGGCAAAGGAUCGGCCCGCGUUGGAUUAGGUAGUUGGUGGGGUAAUGGCCUACCAAGCCGACGAUCCAUAGCUGGUUUGAGAGGAUGAUCAGCCACACUGGGACUGAGACACGGCCCAGACUCCUACGGGAUGCAGCAGUGGGGAAUCUUAGACAAUGGGGGAAACCCUGAUCUAGCCAUGCCGCGUGAGCGAUGAAGGCCUUAGGGUUGUAAAGCUCUUUCACCGGGGAAGAUAAUGACGGUACCCGGAGAAGAAGCCCCGGCUAACUCCGUG